CGAGUGGCAGUUCUCCGCUCAGACGUACCAGCAUGUGUUCCCGAAGCCGACUGUCUCCCCGUCCACCUGCUGACCCACGGCCCCAGCUCCCCGCCCUUGCUUGCCCCCUGGGCCGUGCAGAGAGGAGGCUCAUGUUGGCCUGGAAGGUGGUGGAAGGAACAGCAGUGUCAGGCAGAAUGUGGGCCUCUGGGAAAGCCAUGCUGGUGUGAGGCCGGCUCUGGCAGAGCCACUUCAUGCUAGGGCCCCCAGCCGACCUCUCGUGCAGGCCAGUACCAGGUCCUUGGGCAGUUUUUUGGUCCCGUUUUGUUUUGUUUUUCUCUCAUUGAGACGAUCAUGCGGAUAUUCAGUGAGAGGGGAGGUAUGCACUAUAAUACUAAAUCAGAAAUAAUUUGCUAAAAUCAGACCUCUUGUAAAAGGAUAAGAAGUUCAUUGUUUGACCCACCCUGGAAUGAGGGAGGAGGCAAGACAACAGGGCAGUCUUCUGUGCCAAUCCCAAAACAGCAACAAGAAUUCAGCCUCAGAUGCAGGCUGUAGUCAGCCUCAGUGAUGUUGCUGGAAAUAACUUAGGAGAUGAGUUGUUUUUCCCCAGAAUGGCAAGAACCAAGUUCAAAGCUUAGAUUUAAGGUAGAAGGCCACCCCUUCUGCAGUGGCUGUGCUGUUCCUGGGUGCCUGGCCUCAGCCCAGCCAGGUCCCUCUGUGGGGUCUGCAGGGGACCACUGCAGCUCUGGGCUCGUCACACGUGUCAAAGUGAAUCCCUGCCAGGUGUCUCUCAGUUACAGAAUCUUAUGGAUCACUUCCUAGAAGCAUGAAGCUCCCCUGGGGGCCACGGCGUGGAAAAGAGGGGCAGGUCUGGAAGUCUGUUGAACCCAGUCUCCUGUAGAAUUUGUGAAGACUAAGUCAGUCAUGACAGCGAUGAUAAACCUCAAGGUGAUGGUGAAGAUUGCACAAGGCUGGGCACUCAGGAGCCA